AUGGAUAUCCUCGUCUCUGCAAUCGUAGGUGACCUCGUCAGCAGGACGGCGUCGUUCGUGGUCGGCAAGUACUUCCGGCAGCAGCAUGGCAUCGACAUGAUUCUCCAGAGGCUGCAGCGAGUCGUUCAGAGAAUCGACACCGUCGUCGAGGAGGCCGAGGGACGGCGCAUCACCAACCAGGGGAUGCUCCGUCAGCUGAAGACGCUGAGGCAAGGAAUGUACAGAGGCCGCUACAUUCUUGACGCCCUGAGAUUCCAAGCCGCCCUUGAAGACGAGGAGGAGGUGAGCCAAUCACUGACUGCUGCCCUGCUGUCUGAUGAAUCCAGUAGUCUGGCCAAACGGCUUCGUUUCUCCGGUGGUGCCGGUGGCGGUGGUAGCAGCAGCAACAGUGAUGCAGAAGCACUGUUAAUGUCUGGUGCAAGCAACAAGAUGCAAGAAGAGCUGCAACGGGUGGUUUCUUCUCUUGAAGACACCAUGGAUGCAGGUAUGAAGGAGUUCCUUCUCUUCUUGGAGUCGUAUCCUCGGGUACUCCGCCAACCACACGCGGCAUAUUUGCUCUUGGAGAACUGCAUGUUUGGUCGCCAAACUGAACGUGAACAGGUCCUGGAUUUCUUGCUCCAUCCUGCUGCUGCUCCGAUCUUGGCUGUACUUCCGAUCGUCGGUCCACUAAGAGGAGGGAAAACCACUCUUGUUGAGCAUGUCUGCAGGGAUGAAAAUGUGCGCAGUCGCUUCUCGACGAUCCUCUUCUUUCCAGAAGGCAGCUGCCUUGAGGACGAAGGAGUGGUCGACCUUAGAGGGAACGGCAACUUCAGAGUCAGACGUCGGAAUCACGCCACUCAAUCUCACAACAGGCUUCUGAUCAUUGUCGAAACCGCCAAGGAUAUCAACGAGGGAGCAUGGAGAAGUCUGAAAUCGUGCCUCGCCCACAUGGCACCUUGCGGUGGGAGUAAGAUCAUAGUCACCGGUCGGUCAGACAGAAUAGUGGACCUGGGAACGACGGAAGCGCUUUCACUGGGCCGUGUCCCUCGAGAAGCCUAUUGGUAUUUCUUCAAGUCGCUCGUGUUCGGAAGCGCGGACCCUGACAAGCACCCAAGCAUGGUGGCGAUGGCCAUGGAGAUCGCUUCAGAGCAUAGGCAGUGUUUGAUGGGCGGGCACAUAGUUGCCGGGUUACUGCGAGAUAACUUCAGUCCCAGAUUCUGGCGCGCAAUCCUUGGGUCCAUGAGAGCUUAUAGAAAGGCACAUCUUGUGUGCGAAGAUGGACAUCGGUAUCAUUGGAGGUUGGGAAGAAGCUGCGGAUAUUUCUUGAUUUGCAGCCAUCGCCAGUCAGAUUCAAGUGAGCAAGUCCCCAAGAUCAGUGUGCAGGAAAUCAUCUCGAGACGUGGUGGUACAUUUCCGAGUGGGAAAUUUGAGGCUCUCGCAUGGAGUUCUUGCAUACCGCCCUACUACAAUUACACGGUAAGCUGUGUCAUGCCAGCACCACAGCCUACGGCAGGAAGGAAGAAGCGUGUGGUUAAGGAGGAAGGACGCUCGGUUUGA
rnacentral:rRNA from 1 species